rnacentral:rRNA from 1 species
UACGGGGGGAGCAAGCGUUGUUCGGAUUUACUGGGCGUAAAGGGCGCGUAGGCGGCUUGGCAAGUGGAAGGUGAAAUCCCUCGGCUCAACCGAGGAACUGCCUUCCAGACUGCUUUGCUUGAGUCCGGGAGAGGUGAGUGGAAUUCCUAGUGUAGAGGUGAAAUUCGUAGAUAUUAGGAAGAACACCAGUGGCGAAGGCGGCUCACUGGUCCGGUACUGACGCUGAGGUGCGAAAGCGUGGGGAGCAAACAGG